rnacentral:rRNA from 1 species
UGCGCAGGCGGGCUUGUAAGUCAGUGGUGAAAUACUGCCGCUUAACGGUAGAACUGCCAUUGAUACUGCAAGUCUUGAAUAUGGUUGAGGUAGGCGGAAUGUGUUGUGUAGCGGUGAAAUGCAUAGAUAUGACACAGAACGCCGAUUGCGAAGGCAGCUUACUAAGCCAUUAUUGACGCUGAGGCACGAAAGCGUGUGGAGCGAACAGGAUUAGAUACCCUGGUAGUCC